CCUACGGGUGGCAGCAGUGGGGAAUAUUGGGCAAUGGGCGCAAGCCUGACCCAGCAACGCCGCGUGAAGGAAGAAGGCUUUCGGGUUGUAAACUUCUUUUCUCAGGGACGAAGCAAGUGACGGUACCUGAGGAAUAAGCCACGACUAACUACGUGCCAGCAGCCGCGGUAAUACGUAGGUGGCAAGCGUUAUCCGGAUUUACUGGGUGUAAAGGGAGCGCAGGCGGCGUGGCAAGUCAGAUGUGAAAACCCGGGGCCCAACCCCGGGAGUGCAUUUGAAACUGCCAUGCUGGAGUGCCGGAGAGGUAAGCGGAAUUCCUAGUGUAGCGGUGAAAUGCGUAGAUAUUAGGAGGAACACCAGUGGCGGAGGCGGCUUACUGGACGGUAACUGACGCUGAGGCUCGAAAGCGUGGGGAGCAAACAGGAUUAGAUACCCUAGUAGUC
rnacentral:rRNA from 1 species